rnacentral:tRNA from 1 species
GUAUGGUUAUCCAAGCGGUUGAAGGGGCUAGUCCUACAAACUAGUAUUUACACGAUGGUUCGAAUCCAUCACCAUACA